CCUACGGGUGGCAGCAGUGAGGAAUAUUGGUCAAUGGCCGUAAGGCUGAACCAGCCAAGUAGCGUGAGGGAAGACUGCCCUAUGGGUUGUAAACCUCUUUUAUGCGGGGAUAAAGGUGUCCACGUGUCGAGUGUUGCAGUGAGCGACUGCAUGACCACGUGGUCAUGCAGCUCCAGCAGCCGCGGUAAUACGGAAGGUCCGGGCGUUAUCCGGAUUGAUGGGGUUUAAAGGGAGCGUAGGCCGGUCUUUAAGCGUGCCGUGAAAUUUUGUGGCUCAACCAUGAGAGUGCGGCGCGAACUGGAGACCUUGUGUGCGCGGAAGGCAGGCGGAAUUCGUGGUGUAGCGGUGAAAUGCUUAGAUAUCACGAAGAACCCCGAUUGCGAAGGCAGCCUGCCGCAGCGUUACUGACGCUGAAGCUCGAAAGCGCGGGUAUCGAACAGGAUUAGAUACCCUGGUAGUC
rnacentral:rRNA from 1 species